rnacentral:rRNA from 1 species
UACGAAGGUGGCAAGCGUUGUUCGGAUUUACUGGGCGUACAGGGAGCGUAGGCGGUUGGAUAAGCCCUCCGUGAAAUCUCCAGGCUUAACCUGGAAAGUGCAGUGGGGACUGUUCAGCUAGAGGAUGGGAGAGGAGCGCGGAAUUCCCGGUGUAGCGGUGAAAUGCGCAGAUAUCAGGAGGAACACCGGUGGCGAAGGCGGGUCUCUGGGCAACAACUGACGCUGAGGCGCGACAGCGUGGGGAGCAAACAGG